CCUCUCAUCAGAGGAUAUCUAACCAGGUACACCUCUCAUCAGAGGGAUAUCUAACCAGGUACACCUCUCAUCAGAGGGAUAUCUAACCAGGUACACCUCCUCAUCAGAGGGAUAUCUAACCAGGUACGCCUCUGAUCAGAGGGAUAUCUAACCAGGUACACCUCUCAUCAGAGGGAUAUCUAACCAGGUACACCUCUCAUCAGAGG